UACGAAGGGUGCAAGCGUUAAUCGGAAUUACUGGGCGUAAAGCGCGCGUAGGUGGUUCAGUAAGUUGGAAGUGAAAUCCCCGGGCUCAACCUGGGAACUGCUUUCAAAACUGCUGAGCUAGAGUACGGUAGAGGGUGGUGGAAUUUCCUGUGUAGCGGUGAAAUGCGUAGAUAUAGGAAGGAACACCAGUGGCGAAGGCGACCACCUAGACUGAUACUGACACUGAGGUGCGAAAGCGUGGGGAGCAAACAGG
rnacentral:rRNA from 1 species